ensembl:lncRNA
GUAGCUGCAAGGGGGGGGGGAGAUAGAUCGUGUAGUUGUACUUUUUCACGGGAUAAUUAGCAUCUUUCAUAUAAUAUCUUUGCGGUAAAAGAGGAAAAAUUACGGAAUCGCAAGAUCGCGGGGAUUGGAAGGGACCUCUGGCGGUCCGCUAGUCCAACCCCCUGCUAAAGCAGGUUCUCCACAGCAGAUUGCACAGGAAGGCGUCCGGGCGUGUUUGUGUAAUACCUCCAGAGAAGGAGACUCGACAGCCUCUCCAGGCGGGCUGUGCCGCUGCUCUGUCACCCCCACAGAAAAGUUUUCCUUCCCGUCGUAUGGAACUUGCUGUCUGUGCCCAUUGCUCCUUGUUUUGUCGCUGGGCGUCGCCUAAAAGAGCCCCAUCCUGUUGAUUUCUGCACUCCAGUUAUUUCUGAGUUCCUCCUCACUCUUCUCUCCGUGUUUUUGCUUUCCACCCACAAUUCCACAGCAGGAUGGCAGUUUGCUGAGCGGCACCUGGCAGCCCUCAGCCACCAAUGGAGAAGGUCAGGGUGGGUUUCUGCCAUGUGCCCACUGAGGUGUCCCCCUCCCACACUGCCUUAGGGACAAAACCGGCACUUGGAAACACCCAUGGGAUCACUGCAGCUUCUGAUUGCUGAGGAAAUCUUGUUUUCUUCACAUCAGUCUCCAAACAAGACGUGAACAUGGAGUACUCCGAGGCUUAGCAGAACAUAAUGGAAUCUCAGCAUCAUGAUAUGAGACUUGGGACGUGAUAUGAGGAAUGACAAUCCGAAAGAAGUUGACUGCAGCGAGGUUCAAAACUUGUUUAAGCAAAAAGCUUUUCCCAAAUUAAUACAUAUCUCAGUUAUCUUUCAAACCACAGCAAAAAGUCUGUAAGAACUCCUUGACAAUGCUGAGACACAUUGCAGAAGGCUACUCAACAUGUUUUCAAUGUGUUUUUUCCUGUAAGCCAGGGUUUUGUUCAGAUAGAGAGAUGGAAAUGUGCUUCAACAAGUGAGCAAAGCAGAGCUGAAAUAACAGAACCCAUAAGAAGGGCACAGCACUACAGUAUUGGAUCUGGUACGUCUCUUCUGACAGUGCUACUACUUCCUCCUCCACCUCCAUCAGCAGAUGCUGACAACAGCACAAGUGCAAUCACUUUCCACGUGGACAACAGUCAGUAAAAUGGGUCUCCUUAGGAGCAGUGAACUCAACAUUUUAACCUGGAUUUUUUAAAUCACCGUUAAACAGAAAAAUACGAAGACCACAGAAGAAAAGCAGCACUUGGUUAUGUAAUGGUUGUGGCGUGACAAAACUUGACAAGUGGGAUGCUGACUUUGAAUGGCUCAUUUGCCAUCAGUGACGGCCCCAGUGUGAUGCUGAAGUUCCCCAGAUUGACAGUACUUGUGGAGGAAGCAACCUGACUACCCCACUACCAGGUUUGCAUGGCCUCUGCUCAAAGCUGAUAAAGACAAAACGUUAAAAAUGAAAUCUACAAAAAGCCUAAUGUCCCUGUACGUUAGGAGCU